CUUUUUUUAGCCUGUUGGU
rnacentral:piRNA from 1 species